UACGAAGGGGGCUAGCGUUGUUCGGAAUUACUGGGCGUAAAGGGCGCGUAGGCGGCGUGUCAAGUCAGGCGUGAAAGCCCCGGGCUCAACCUGGGAACCGCGCUUGAGACUGGCAUGCUCGAGUUCGGGAGAGGAUGGUGGAAUUCCCAGUGUAGAGGUGAAAUUCGUAGAUAUUGGGAAGAACGCCGAUGGCGAAGGCAGCCAUCUGGACCGACACUGACGCUGAGGCGCGAAAGCGUGGGGAGCAAACAGG
rnacentral:rRNA from 1 species